GACGAACGCUGGCGGCGUGCCUAAUACAUGCAAGUAGAACGCUGAAGGAGGAGCUUGCUUCUCUGGAUGAGUUGCGAACGGGUGAGUAACGCGUAGGUAACCUGCCUGGUAGCGGGGGAUAACUAUUGGAAACGAUAGCUAAUACCGCAUAAUAGUAGAUGUUGCAUGACAUUUGCUUAAAAGGUGCAAUUGCAUCACUACCAGAUGGACCUGCGUUGUAUUAGCUAGUUGGUGGGGUAACGGCUCACCAAGGCGAAGAUACAUAGCCGACCUGAGAGGGUGAUCGGCCACACUGGGACUGGGACACGGCCCAGACUCCUACGGGAGGCAGCAGUAGGGAAUCUUCGGCAAUGGACGGAAGUCUGACCGAGCAACGCCGCGUGAGUGAAGAAGGGUUUCGGAUCGUAAAGCUCUGUUGUAAGAGAAGAACGAGUGUGAGGGUGGAAAGUUCACACUGUGACGGUAUCUUAACAGAAAGGGACGGCUAACUACGUG
rnacentral:rRNA from 1 species